GGGCCCGUAGCCCAGUCAGGAUAAGGCGUUGGCCUUCGGAGCCAAAGAUCCGGGGUUCGAAUCCCUGCGGGCCCA
rnacentral:tRNA from 1 species